rnacentral:rRNA from 1 species
UACGAAGGGGGCUAGCGUUGCUCGGAAUCACUGGGCGUAAAGCGCACGUAGGCGGAUCUUUAAGUCAGAGGUGAAAGCCCGGGGCUCAACCCCGGAAUUGCCUUUGAGACUGCAUCGCUAGAAUUGUGGAGAGGUAAGUGGAAUUCCGAGUGUAGAGGUGAAAUUCGUAGAUAUUCGGAAGAACACCAGUGGCGAAGGCGACUUACUGGACACAUAUUGACGCUGAGGUGCGAAAGCGUGGGGAGCAAACAGG